CAAAAAUGGUUGUUCAGGCUUUAAUUGAUCAAGGUGUUGACACCGUCUUUGGUUAUCCCGGUGGUGCAGUCCUGCCCAUUUAUGA
rnacentral:tRNA from 1 species